GAUGAACGCUCGCGGCAGGCCUAACACAUGCAAGUCGAGGGAUAAGCCUUCGGGCUACGACCGGCGCACGGGUGCGUAACGCGUAUACAAUCUGCCUUUUAUCCGGGGGAUAGCCCGAAGAAAUUUGGAUUAAUACCCUAUGGUAUAAGAGCACGGCAUCGUGCACUUAUUAAAGCUACGGCGGUAAAAGAUGAGUAUGCGUUCUAUUAGCUAGUUGGAGAGGUAACGGCUCCCCAAGGCGACGAUAGAUAGGGGUUCUGAGAGGGAUGUCCCCCACACUGGUACUGAGAUACGGACCAGACACCUACGGGAGGCAGCAGUGAGGAAUAUUGGACAAUGGUCGGAAGACUGAUCCAGCCAUGCCGCGUGCAGGAUGACGGCCUUAUGGGUGGUAAACUGCUUUUGUAAGGGAAGAAUAAGGAGUACGUGUACUUUGAUGACGGUACCUUACGAAUAAGCAUCGGCUAACUCCGUG
rnacentral:rRNA from 1 species